GGCGCAGGGCGCUACCAUGCAGUCGAGCGGAUGAAGUAGCUUGCUACCGGAUUCAGCGGCGGACGGGUGAGUAAUGCUUAGGAAUCUGCCUAUUAGUGGGGGACAACGUUCCGAAAGGAGCGCUAAUACCGCAUACGUCCUACGGGAGAAAGCAGGGGACCUUUGGGCCUUGCGCUAAUAGAUGAGCCUAAGUCGGAUUAGCUAGUUGGUAGGGUAAAGGCCUACCAAGGCGACGAUCUGUAGCGGGUCUGAGAGGAUGAUCCGCCACACUGGGACUGAGACACGGCCCAGACUCCUACGGGAGGCAGCAGUGGGGAAUAUUGGACAAUGGGGGGAACCCUGAUCCAGCCAUGCCGCGUGUGUGAAGAAGGCCUUUUGGUUGUAAAGCACUUUAAGCGAGGAGGAGGCUACCUAGAUUAAUACUUUAGGAUAGUGGACGUUACUCGCAGAAUAAGCACCGGCUAACUCUGUGCCAGCAGCCGCGGUAAUACAGAGGGUGCGAGCGUUAAUCGGAUUUACUGGGCGUAAAGCGUGCGUAGGCGGCCAAUUAAGUCAAAUGUGAAAUCCCCGAGCUUAACUUGGGAAUUGCAUUCGAUACUGGUUGGCUAGAGUAUGGGAGAGGAUGGUAGAAUUCCAGGUGUAGCGGUGAAAUGCGUAGAGAUCUGGAGGAAUACCGAUGGCGAAGGCAGCCAUCUGGCCUAAUACUGACGCUGAGGUACGAAAGCAUGGGGAGCAAACAGGAUUAGAUACCCUGGUAGUCCAUGCCGUAAACGAUGUCUACUAGCCGUUGGGGCCCUUGAGGCUUUAGUGGCGCAGCUAACGCGAUAAGUAGACCGCCUGGGGAGUACGGUCGCAAGACUAAAACUCAAAUGAAUUGACGGGGCCCGCACAAGCGGGGAGCAUGUGGUUAAUUCGAUGCACGCGAAGAACCUUACUGGCCCUGA
rnacentral:rRNA from 1 species